UACGUAGGGGGCAAGCGUUGUCCGGAAUCAUCGGGCGUAAAGCGCGUGUAGGCGGCCAGGUAAGUCCGUUCUGAAAGCCCGGGGCUCAACCCCGGGAGGCGGAUGGAUACUGCUUGGCUCGAGUCCGGAAGAGGCGAGUGGAAUUCCCGGUGUAGCGGUGAAAUGCGCAGAUAUCGGGAGGAACACCAAUGGCGAAGGCAGCUCGCUGGGACGGUACUGACGCUGAGACGCGAAAGCGUGGGGAGCAAACAGG
rnacentral:rRNA from 1 species